rnacentral:misc_RNA from 1 species
GAUGAAGAACGCAGCGAAAUGCGAUAAGUAAUGUGAAUUGCAGAAUUCAGUGAAUCAUCGAAUCUUUGAACGCACAUUGCGCCCGUUAGCAUUCUAGCGGGCAUGCCUGUCCGAGCAUCAUUUCAACCCUCAGGGUCCCCGUUCCGGCGGGGAACCUGGUGUUGGGGAUCGGCCCGCCCCGUGCGGCGCCGUCCCCCAAAUUCAGUGGCGGUCUCGCUGCAGCCUCCCCUGCGUAGUAGUUACAACCUCGCAUCGGAGCUCAGCGCGGCCACGCCGUAAAACCCCCGACUUUCUGAACGUUGACCUCGGAUCAGGUAGGAAUACCCGCUGAACUUAAGCAUAUCAAUAAGCGGAGGA